rnacentral:lncRNA from 1 species
GGCGACCCCGCGACAGGGCCACUUACACUUGCCCACCACCUUCCCAACCACCACGUACUACACCGUCUUUGGUCUCAAUUUUGCCUUUAAUUUAGGCCUUGUUUAGUUUCCAAAAAUUUUCAAGAUUCUCCGUUACAUCGAAUCUUGCGGCACAUGCAUGAUAUAUUAAAUAUACAUGAAAACAAAAACUAAUUACAUAGUUCAUCUGUAAAUCGCGUGACGAAUUUUUUAAGUCUAGUUACUUUAUAAUUGGACAAUGUUUGUCAAAUAAAAACGAAAGUGCUACAGUGUCAAAAACCAAAAAAAAAACCAAAAUUUUUUGCCAACUGAACACACAGGCUUAAUUUGUUCGUGUGGGUUUCGUGUUGUGUGUCGCGUUGGAUAAACUACAGUUUUUGUGGCACGCACGUUAUUGUGCUACAGGGGCGGACCACGGGGUAUGCCAGGUGGGCCACGGCAUACCCUGUGGGUCAGCCUCCUACUUAAUUAACAAUGUAUUAUAUAUAUAUAUAAAAAAUACAACUGUCAUUAUUGAUACAUCUUACUAGUCCAAUGGUAAGUUUUUUGUUCUGUAACCAAGAGAUCGCUGGUUCAAACCAUCGGGGCUGCAAUUUUUUUUUCCAUUUUACGUUUUGUACUUCUUUGUUCAAACCGUCGGGGCUGCAAAUUUUUUUUCCAUUUUACGUUUUGUAUUUCUUUAUUCUCUGUUUUUGCCCUUUCAAAAAUUAACUAUAUAUAAUAUAUUUCUUUCUUUAGUUUUUAUAUUUAUCCAUUUUGUUGUGUCUCGUAAAACCUCACCUGCGAAUAGUUAUUAUUUUGAAUUACAUAUUUCAUCCUUUCUUUUACUAUUUUUUCAUCCCAUCUUGUUAUAAGUUUCUUUUAUGGCUAUUAUUUUGAAUUAUUUGUAUUUCUUUUCUUUAUAUCAUAAUUAGUUAUAGUUUUUAGCUAAUCUUUAAAUUUAAGGCUUAUCGUGUUAUUUAAUGGACAUAGUUUUAUCUAAUUGGAAAUAGUUUUACCGAAUUGCGUAAAAUUAUUUUCUUAUGUGGCAUACCCUACCAUAAAAUUCUAGGUCCGCCACUGUUGUACUAUACUAGUACUAUCAGUAUCAGUUAUGUGACUGUUGACACGGCGAUGUGUAGUGUGUGUGUAUAUGAGAGAGGAAAUUAACCCGCAUGUACACGUUCUAAUUAAGUGAGCUGCUGGUAUCACAACUAAGCUAAUCUAAGGCUUGUCAAUGAAAUUAACCUUUGUCUCUGACACAGACAGAAACUAUUGCAUGCAUCAUCUUUGGAUGCCUCAGUGCGAUUAAAAUUCAGUGUACCCCCGGCCCGAACUAAUGUAUAGAAUGUCGUCACGUUGGUUGACGGUUGAAUAAAUCCUGGGUAGUCCUACACUGGGACAGAGUAUAUAAAAAAGGGAUGACGGCUGAAUGAACGAAAUGCUUGAAUCAUUCAUUCAUUCAGUUCAUUUGGAUGGCACCGGCCCGUCAGCGAUCAGGCUGAUGAGCAGGAAACAUCCGGAGCGUUUGGGGUCAGAUUACGUGACGGAUCCGCUGAAUCUUUGAGCGUGACCGCCCCUGCUCGCUCUCAGCUGGCUAUUUUUUUUAUUUGAUAAUCGGGAUAAGAUAUACUCCAUCUGUUCUAAAAAAGAAUAUUUUUUUAGGUUUUCGUGCUACAAGUUUGACUCAAUUUAUAAAAAAUACAUAUAAUAUUUUUAUCUCUAAAUAAAUUUGUUAAAAAACUAGACUUAAAGAUCUUUCCAAUGAUACUAAUUAUAUACUAUAAAUAUUAAUAUUUUUACUAUACAUAUAGUUAAAGUUAUUUCUCAGGAAGCGCAAACGACAUUUAUUUUGGGAUGGAGAUAAUAUAUAGCAAGAGUUAAGGACAACAACAACAACAACAAGUCCUUUUAGUAGUGUUUUUCUCUUAUAACAAACUAGGAGGAUUCCUCGCGCGUUGCCGCAGGUAUGAAGAAGGAAUAUAAAUAUAUAUAACUUUGUUAUUAACAUAAUCAUAGAAAUUAUAUUCAUAGUGGAUGAUGUGGCUCGCUAAUGUGGAUGCCAUAAUUCUUGUGCUAAUGAAAUUUAAUGCAAAUGAUAGUAGAUUGCUGAGGUGGACACCUUGCAUGUCAAACGAAAUUCAUAGUGGUGAAUGAUAGUGGAGGCUGCUGAGGUGGACGUUUUACAUUUUAAGAGAAAUAUAUAGUGAGGUUGAUAGUGGACUGCUAAGGUGAAUGCAUUGCAUGUCAAGUGAGGUUGAUAGUGGACUACUG